rnacentral:rRNA from 1 species
GACGAAGGAUGCAAGCGUUAUCCGGAUUCAUUGGGUUUAAAGGGAGCGUAGGCGGCCUUGUAAGUCAGUGGUGAAAUCUCGCAACUUAACUGCGAAACUGCCAUUGAUACUGCAGGGCUUGAGUACAGAUGCUGUGGGCGGAAUAUGACAUGUAGUGGUGAAAUACAUAGAGAUGUCAUAGAACACCGAUUGCGAAGGCAGCUCACAAAACUGUAACUGACGCUGAGGCUCGAAAGUGUGGGGAUCAAACAGG